rnacentral:rRNA from 1 species
GACGUAGGAGGCGAGCGUUGUCCGGAUUCAUUGGGCGUAAAGAGCGCGCAGGCGGCUUGGUAAGUCGGAUGUGAAAUCCCGAGGCUCAACCUCGGGUCUGCAUCCGAUACUUCCGAGCUGGAGGUAGGUAGGGGAGAUCGGAAUUCCUGGUGUAGCGGUGAAAUGCGCAGAUAUCAGGAAGAACACCAAUGGCGAAGGCAGCUCUCUGGGCAUUACCUGACGCUGAGGAGCGAAAGUGUGGGGAGCGAACAGG